UAGGGAAUAUUGGGCAAUGGAUGCAAGUCUGACCCAGCCAUGCCGCGUGCAGGAAGAAGGUCCUCUGGAUUGUAAACUGCUUUUGUCGGGGAAGAAUAGGUCUCUUGCGAGGGAUUGUGACGGUACCCGAUGAAUAAGCCACGGCUAACUACGUGCCAGCAGCCGCGGUAAUACGUAGGUGGCAAGCGUUGUCCGGAUUUAUUGGGUUUAAAGGGUGCGUAGGUGGUUUGCUAAGUCAGUGGUGAAAGCUGGUUGCUCAACAAUCAAGUUGCCAUUGAUACUGUCAGACUUGAGAGAAGUGGAGGCUCAUGGAAUGGAUGGUGUAGCGGUGAAAUGCAUAGAUAUCAUCCAGAACGUCGAUUGCGAAGGCAGUGGGCUGUACUUUUUCUGACACUGAGGCACGAAAGCGUGGGGAUCAAACAGG
rnacentral:rRNA from 1 species